UAGCAUAUCAAUAAGCGGAGGAAGAGCAACUAACCAGGAUUCCCCCAGUAACGGCGAGCGAAGCGGGAACAGCUCGAGCAGGCAAUCUCUGGCGUCGAUCGCCAGCGAAUUGUGGCCGGCAGAGGCGGAUGCACCCGACGAGACCCCGCCGAAGUUGACCUGGAAAGGCACGUCGGAGAGGGUGAUAGCCCCGUGCGCGGCGGAGUCUCGGAGGGCCGCUACCGUCUUCGGAGAGUCGGGUUGUUUGGGAGUGCAGCCCAAAGUGGGUGGUAAACUCCAUCUAAAGCCAAAUAACGGCACGAGACCGAUAGCGAACAAGUACCAUGAGGGAAAGGUGAAAAGCACUUUGGAAAGAGAGUUAAAGAGGCCGCGAAACCGUUGGGAGGGAAACGCAUGCAGCCGAACGGGCCCGCGUCGAGUUCAGGGGGCCGCGAGUAGUCCCGCGCACGGUCGACACCCAGGUGGGUCGUCCGCGCGCGUCGGGCUCCCCGCGCCCCUGCACUCUCGGCGGCAGGGGCCGGCCAAGUGCGGCGGGCACCGGACGACGAGCGCGCGUCGGGCAGGUAGCGCAGCCGUCUCGCGCGGAGGCGAACUUACAGCCGGCCGUGCGGAGCGUCCGGAGCCCGCCGAGGAGAGCGGUGGCAACUUCCACCCCCGUAGCGCAGGCCCACCCUCGGGCGGGCCGGGGCGCUCCCGUCCGUUCGACCGCGGUGCCGCGACACUGCACGCAGUGUCCGGCCACCGUCGGUCCGUCCGGGCGGGAGGUCGUCUCACGCCCUGCGCUGUGGUCGCUCGGCCAGCCGUCGGCCGCAUUCGACCCG
rnacentral:rRNA from 1 species